rnacentral:pre_miRNA from 1 species
GUGAACUACUCUCUCCAUCCCAUAAUGUAAGACGUUUUUGCAAACUAUAUUAGCUUGCAAAAACGUCUAAUAUUAUGGGACGGAGGGAGUAGUACA